GACGACCGCUGGCGGCGUGCUUAACACAUGCAAGUCGAACGGAAAGGCCCUGCUUUUGUGGGGUGCUCGAGUGGCGAACGGGUGAGUAACACGUGAGUAACCUGCCCUUGACUUUGGGAUAACUUCAGGAAACUGGGGCUAAUACCGGAUAGGAGCUCCUGCUGCAUGGUGGGGGUUGGAAAGUUUCGGCGGUUGGGGAUGGACUCGCGGCUUAUCAGCUUGUUGGUGGGGUAGUGGCUUACCAAGGCUUUGACGGGUAGCCGGCCUGAGAGGGUGACCGGCCACAUUGGGACUGAGAUACGGCCCAGACUCCUACGGGAGGCAGCAGUGGGGAAUAUUGCACAAUGGGCGGAAGCCUGAUGCAGCAACGCCGCGUGCGGGAUGACGGCCUUCAGGUUGUAAACCGCUUUCGCCUGUGACGAAGCGUGAGUGACGGUAAUGGGUAAAGAAGCACCGGCUAACUACGUG
rnacentral:rRNA from 1 species